rnacentral:rRNA from 1 species
AUACNCNGGGNUACCAUGCAGUCGUACGANAACGCUUCAGCUUGCUGAAGCUAGUAAAGGCGCACGGGUGAGUAACGCGUGGGUAAUCUACCUUCGAAUUGGGGAUAACGUUGCGAAAGUGACGCUAAUACCGAAUGAUAUCAUAGGGACUUUGGUCCUUUUGAUCAAAGAUGGCCUCUCCUUGGAAGCUAUUGUUUGAAGAUGAGCCCGCGUCCCAUUAGCUUGUUGGUGGGGUAAUGGCCUACCAAGGCAGCGAUGGGUAGCUGGUCUGAGAGGAUGAUCAGCCACACUGGAACUGACACACGGUCCAGACUCCUACGGGAGGCAGCAGUGAGGAAUUUUGCGCAAUGGGGGAAACCCUGACGCAGCAACGCCGCGUGAGUGAUGAAGGCUUUCGGGUCGUAAAGCUCUGUCAAGUGGGAAGAACUCCCGUGAGGUUAAUACCCUCAUGGUUUGACGGUACCACUGAACGGAAGCACCGGCUAACUCCGUGCCAGCAGCCGCGGUAAUACGGGGGGUGCAAGCGUUAUUCGGAUUUACUGGGCCGUAAAGCGCGCGUAGGCGGCCGUUUAAGUCAGAUGUGAAAGCCCGGGGCUCAACCCGGAAGUGCAUUUGAUACUAUUCGGCUUGAGUAUGGGAGAGGGGAAAUGAAAUUCCUGGUGUAGAGUGAAAUUCGUAGAUAUCAGGAGGAACACCGGUGGCGAAAGCGACUUCCUGGACCAAUACUGACGCUGAGGCGCGAAGGCGUGGGGAGCAAACAGGAUUAGAUACCCUGGUAGUCCACGCAGUAAACGGUGAUCACUAGGUGUAGCGGGUAUUGACCCCUGCUGUGCCGCAGCUAACGCAUUAAGUGAUCCGCCUGGGGAGUACGCCGCAAGGUUAAAACUCAAAGGAAUUGACGGGGGCCCGCACAAGCGGUGGAGCAUGUGGUUUAAUUCGACGCAACGCGAAGAACCUUACCUGGAUUUGACAUCUCGGGAAUUCCUAUGAAAGUAGGAAGUGCCCUUCGGGGAGCCCGAUGACAGGUGCUGCAUGGCUGUCGUCAGCUCCUUUCUGAAAAAUUUUGGUUAAAUUCCCGCAACGAGCGCAACCCCUAUCUUUAGUUACCAGCACCUCGGGUGGGGACUCUAAAGAUACUGCCCCGGUCAACGGGGAGGAAGGUGGGGAUGACGUCAAGUCCUCAUGGCCUUUAUGUCCAGGGCUACACACGUGCUACAAUGGGCAGUACAGAGGGUCGCGACACUGCGAGGUGGAGCUAAUCCCUUAAAGCUGUUCUAAGUUCGGAUUGGAGUCUGCAACUCGACUCCAUGAAGCUGGAAUCGCUAUAAUCGCGAUCACAC